rnacentral:misc_RNA from 1 species
UGUGGGUGUGGGUGUGUGUGUGUGUCUGUAGCUCCAUUGCAUUUGGAUUAUGCUUAGGAAUAACUAUGACUUGUCAUUUUUCCCACAUGUGCAUGGCACCACUACACCAGUUUGAAAUACGUUGAUACUCAGGUGGUCAUUAUAUUGCAAUUAUGUGGGAGUGCCAAAUGAAUUUCUGUCUCUUGAUUUAUGCAGUUUGUUAAAAUCCUAUUAAAACAAUUUAAGCUUGACAUAUGCUUGUGAUUCAUUUCGAUGCUUAUUUACUGUCAGAUAUUUGCCUUAUUAAUUCUUUUUUAAUUACUAUAUACUUUUCAAGGUACUCCCUUGUGGUAAGUAUUCCCAAGGUACUAUAAAAUUUGUCUUCGUUGAUAUUUAUUCUCAUAGAUUUAGUGGUAUAUGGACUCUUAAAAGUUCAUUUUUGAAUUCUUGUUUAUCCAAAUAUGCCUUGCGUGACUUCCGUAGUGCUUGGAAGGUGGUUACAGGUACAUGCUGUGCUACACUAUUGAGAGGUAGGAUUUGCUGUGGGUCUUUGCUGCUUGCACUACCUACUUUGUAGCUUGAAUGUUAGUAAUUUCUGUCAUAUGUGUUAUUUAUUGAUUGUUAUGUUUUUUAUUUGAAUGAAUUUUUGUGGUAAUUCUUUAUGAAGCACCAAACAGGAUAUUUCUUGUCAUGUUUGACUGUAAAAGAGAAUAUCCCUUCUAGGCUGUAAUACAUUUCUUGUAUUUUGUUUUCAAUUUUAAAUUUAUGUUCUGACCAUCUACUAAAUAUCACUGUUUGGUAUCUUGAGCUUCUAGAAUACAAAUGUGUUGUUCCUAGCUCUUUAUUAAUGCAGAAUUCUAUAUUCAGAGUUUUCCCCCCCUUCCUUUAAUUGGAUAUCCUGCGCUUAAAAUAGUUUAUACAAUGAAUUUUAUG